UACGUAGGUGGCAAGCGUUGUCCGGAUUUACUGGGUGUAAAGGGCGUGUAGCCGGGCUGACAAGUCAGAUGUGAAAUCCGGGGGCUCAACCCCCGAACUGCAUUUGAAACUGUUGGUCUUGAGUAUCGGAGAGGCAGGCGGAAUUCCUAGUGUAGCGGUGAAAUGCGUAGAUAUUAGGGGGAACACCAGUGGCGAAGGCGGCCUGCUGGACGACAACUGACGGUGAGGCGCGAAAACGUGGGGAGCAAACAGG
rnacentral:rRNA from 1 species